rnacentral:piRNA from 1 species
UGACACAUCUAGGAAGAGGGAACCUC